rnacentral:lncRNA from 1 species
AUUUCCCCCAGAGGAGAGCAGUGUGACACGAGCAGGCAGAGCAGCUCUGAUCCAAGACUUUGCUCCUGGCAUCCCUGAAUACCCUGACUAGCUCACCUCUUCUUAAAAGUCACUUUCAGAGGCAAAGCUAGGUAUUUGGGGGUGGUGCCUACCCAUGAACACACAGAGCUGUAUGUGACUUGCCCAGAGACAAGUUCUUAGAUAAAGGCUGUGAUUUGCAGCCAUAGUGGCCUGACCCUGAGUCCUGGGUUGGCAGGGAGGCCAGGGUGGAGGGUACAGUGGACAUGACCCUGGCUUAGAGGUGAAAAGUGCAGGGUUCAGGUCCUGAUUCUAUCCUGUGUAGCUGUGUGACCUUGAGAUAUUGCUAAGUUCUGUAAGUUUUAGUUAUUCAUCUCUAAAAUGGAAAUAAUAAUACUUUCCUCACAGUGUUAUCAAAAUCAUAUAAAAUCACUUUGCAAAAUGCUGUAUUGAUGGAAGGAAUGAUUUCCUUUAUUCAUUCUGUCUUCCAGAUCCAAAGGCCACUCUUGGGAAGGUGUGACAGCUAUCGGGUUCAAGGGAAGCAUCUGGAAAGGGCUGGGAUCUUUGCAGCCAUGUAGCACACUGGCCAAGAAAG